GGAAUUUGUUCUAUAUACUGUUUUUUUUAAUCUUAUUUCUAUUUUUACUACUCCAAUUAUUAACAUUUUUACUUUUACUACCUCUUUUAAACUCACAUGCUUUUAUUACCAUAUAUACCUUACAGUUAUAAUUCUUUUUCAAAAAUACGGUACGUUAGUGAGAGAGUGGAGCAAUGGGUUAGAGCGGUGAUUGGGAGUUGAGCGCUGCGCGAGUUGAUUCACUGAGCAACGCUUGGACAACUUCUCUCUUCCUUGAUCGCUUCUCUCUUCGUCAAUUUCUCUCAUCAGCGAAGCUUUGUGGCCCCGCAGGGGCAUUCAUUGCAUAUUAGGAUGAUUGUUAAAAUUGAUUAAGUUUAUCAGAAGGUUGCAUGUUAAGAGUUAAGUUGCAUAGAAUGUGGCUAAUGUUGAAUCAACCUCCCUGCAUUUGCUGAAGGCUUAUUUGAACAAGUCGGAUGUUGAUCCUCUUAGACUAGUAUUGCAUCAUAACUGCGUUAAGUCAUCAUCUAUGUGUAAGUCGCAUGACUUUUUAAGUUUGUCAAAUUUUUUAAAACUUGUAUAAUUAAAUUAUGUUAUAUUUGCUGCAGUGAUACUGGUAUAUACAUGAUUUCGUUUUGCAGAGUAUCUUGCCGAUAAGAAGGAGAUUCCCCAAGCAGACUUGGAUAUUGGCGCUCAUAGAAGCAGACUUGAUUUUCUAUUUUCCUCAAAUGGCAUGGCAAAACAGAUAUAUGGCUACGAGAGCGAGGGAGAGGAUACAAAAGGAGAUGAGAAGGCGAUAAAGACUCUAACGAAGAAGAGAAAGACGAGAUCUAUGGAAUGAAUUGCUUGUGUUAAUUUUUUUUUGCGCCACUAAGUACUUGAAAGGAACUGUGUAAUGGUGGUUUGGGAUGUAAUAUGAUUUGAUAUGAUGGAAUUAAGAAUUAUGUAAAUGAUAUGGUUUGAAAACUUAUGAUUUGGUUCGUUUAUGAAUUAUUUUGUUUGUA